GGAGUUAGCCGGUGCUUCUUCUGCGAGUAACGUCACAGAUGUAAGGUAUUAACUUACACCCUUUCCUCCUCGCUGAAAGUGCUUUACAACCCGAAGGCCUUCUUCACACACGCGGCAUGGCUGCAUCAGGGUUUCCCCCAUUGUGCAAUAUUCCCCACUGCUGCCUCCCGUAGGAGUCUGGGCCGUGUCUCAGUCCCAGUGUGGCUGAUCAUCCUCUCAGACCAGCUAGGGAUCGUCGCCUAGGUGAGCCUUUACCUCACCUACUAGCUAAUCCCACCUGGGCUUAUCCAUCAGCGCAAGGCCCGAAGGUCCCCUGCUUUCCCCCGUAGGGCGUAUGCGGUAUUAGCAGUCGUUUCCAACUGUUAUCCCCACAAAUGGGCAAAUUCCCAGGCAUUACUCACCCGUCCGCCGCUCGUCAUCUUCAAAAGCAAGCUUUUGAAAUGUUACCGCUCGACUUGCAUGUGUUAGCUGCCGCCAGCGUCAUCUGAACCAAGAUACAACUUACUGA
rnacentral:rRNA from 1 species